rnacentral:rRNA from 1 species
AUUGAACGCUGGCGGCAGGCCUAACGCAUGCAAGUCGAGCGGAUGACGGGAGCUUGCUCCUUGAUUCAGCGGCGGACGGGUGAGUAAUGCCUAGGAAUCUGCCUGGUAGUGGGGGACAACGUUUCGAAAGGAACGCUAAUACCGCAUACGUCCUACGGGAGAAAGCAGGGGACCUUCGGGCCUUGCGCUAUCAGAUGAGCCUAGGUCGGAUUAGCUAGUAGGUGAGGUAAUGGCUCACCUAGGCGACGAUCCGUAACUGGUCUGAGAGGAUGAUCAGUCACACUGGAACUGAGACACGGUCCAGACUCCUACGGGAGGCAGCAGUGGGGAAUAUUGGACAAUGGGCGAAAGCCUGAUCCAGCCAUGCCGCGUGUGUGAAGAAGGUCUUCGGAUUGUAAAGCACUUUAAGUUGGGAGGAAGGGCAGUAAGCUAAUACCUUGCUGUUUUGACGUUACCGACAGAAUAAGCACCGGCUAGCUCUGUGCCAGCCGCCGCGGUAACAC